GGUGUGGGGGUUUCAACACCUCCGUGCCGCCGCUAACGCAUUAAGUAUUCCGCCUGGGGAGUACGGUCGCAAGAUUAAAACUCAAAGGAAUUGACGGGGACCCGCACAAGUAGCGGAGCAUGUGGUUUAAUUCGAAGCAACGCGAAGAACCUUACCUACACUUGACAUCCCUUGCAUUACUCUUAAUCGAGGAAAUCCCUUCGGGGACAAGGUGACAGGUGGUGCAUGGUUGUCGUCAGCUCGUGUCGUGAGAUGUUGGGUUAAGUCCCGCAACGAGCGCAACCCUUGUCGUUAGUUACUACCAUUAAGUUGAGGACUCUAGCGAGACUGCCUGGGUUAACCAGGAGGAAGGUGGGGAUGACGUCAAAUCAUCAUGCCCCUUAUGUGUAGGGCUACACACGUGCUACAAUGGCUGGUACAGAGAGAUGCAAUACCGCGAGGUGGAGCCAAACUUAAAAACCAGUCUCAGUUCGGAUUGUAGGCUGAAACUCGCCUACAUGAAGCUGGAGUUACUAGUAAUCGCGAAUCAGAAUGUCGCGGUGAAUACGUUCCCGGGUCUUGUACACACCGCCCGUCACACCAUGAGAGUUGGCAAUACCCGAAGUCCGUGAGCUAACCGCAAGGAGGCAGCGGCCGAAGGUAGGGUCAGCGAUUGGGGUGAAGUCGUAACAAGGUAGCCGUAGGAGAACCUGCGGCUG
rnacentral:rRNA from 1 species